GGAACCUGCGGAAGGAUCAUUAGCGAGAG
rnacentral:rRNA from 1 species